AGAGUUUGAUCAUGGCUCAGGACGAACGCUGGCGGCGUGCUUAACACAUGCAAGUCGAGCGGAAAGGCCCCUUCGGGGGUACUCGAGCGGCGAACGGGUGAGUAACACGUGAGUAACCUGCCCUCGACUCUGGGAUAAGCCUGGGAAACUCGGUCUAAUACCGGAUAUUCACCUCCUGUCGCAUGGUGGGGGGUGGGAAGUUCCCUCUUUUUGGGGGUUCGGUCGGGGAUGGGCUCGCGGCCUAUCAGCUUGUUGGCGGGGUGACGGCCUACCAAGGCGACGACGGGUAGCCGGCCUGAGAGGGCGACCGGCCACACUGGGACUGAGACACGGCCCAGACUCCUACGGGAGGCAGCAGUGGGGAAUCUUGCGCAAUGGGCGAAAGCCUGACGCAGCGACGCCGCGUGGGGGAUGAAGGCCUUCGGGUUGUAAACCCCUUUCAGCACCGACGAAUGAAGGACGGUAGGUGCAGAAGAAGCGCCGGCUAACUACGUGCCAGCAGCCGCGGUAAUACGUAGGGCGCGAGCGUUGUCCGGAAUUAUUGGGCGUAAAGAGCUCGUAGGCGGCUUGUCGCGUCUGUCGUGAAAGCCCACGGCUUAACCGUGGGUUUGCGGUGGAUACGGGCAGGCUAGAGGCAGGUAGGGGAGCAUGGAAUUCCCGGUGUAGCGGUGAAAUGCGCAGAUAUCGGGAGGAACACCGGUGGCGAAGGCGGUGCUCUGGGCCUGUUCUGACGCUGAGGAGCGAAAGCGUGGGGAGCGAACAGGAUUAGAUACCCUGGUAGUCCACGCCGUAAACGUUGGGCGCUAGGUGUGGGGUUCUUCCACGGAUUCCGCGCCGUAGCUAACGCAUUAAGCGCCCCGCCUGGGGAGUACGGCCGCAAGGCUAAAACUCAAAGGAAUUGACGG
rnacentral:rRNA from 1 species